rnacentral:rRNA from 1 species
CUAUGAGUCAAACUUAAUAAUAUUGUAGCCUACAAUAUAGCCCUAGAUAAGAGCU